rnacentral:rRNA from 1 species
UACGUAGGAGGCAAGCGUUGUCCGGAGUUACUGGGCGUAAAGCGCACGCAGGCGGUCUUGUCAGUCUGUAGGGACAGGGCACAGCUCAACUGUGUCAGGCUUACGGAAACUGCAAGACUUGAGGGCUUCAGAGGGAUGGGGAAUUCCGGGUGGAGUGGUGAAAUGCGUAGAGAUCCGGAAGAACACCAAAGGCGAAGGCACCAUCCUGGGGAGUCACUGACGCUCGGGUGCGAAAGCUAGGGGAGCAAACAGG